CCAAUAGCGUAUAUUAAAGUUGUUGCAGUUAAAAAGCUCGUAGUUGAACUUCGGGAUCAAUUAGUUGGUCAUGCCUUGGUAUGUACUGAUUUUAUUGGUUCUCACCUUCUAAAGAACUAUAAUGUCAUUUAUUUGAUGUUAUAGGGAAUUAGGACUGUUACCUUGAAAAAAUUAGAGUGUUUAAAGCAGGCUCACGCUUG
rnacentral:rRNA from 1 species